UACGUAGGGCGCAAGCGUUUGUCCGGAAUUAUUGGGCGUAAAGAGCUCGUAGGCGGUCUGUUACGUCCGCUGUGAAAACCCAGGGCUUAACCCUGGGCUUGCAGUGGAUACGGGUAGACUAGAGGCAGGUAGGGGAGAAUGGAAUUCCCGGUGUAGCGGUGAAAUGCGCAGAUAUCGGGAGGAACACCGGUGGCGAAGGCGGUUCUCUGGGCCUGACCUGACGCUGAGGAGCGAAAGCGUGGGGAGCGAACAGG
rnacentral:rRNA from 1 species